UAACCAAUGCUGGGAGUGACAAGGGUGGAAUUUGGCCCCUGCAUGCCCUGUUUUGUGCAGCUCCCAGGUCCUGCUGGGGCCACUGCAGUGCUGCGGUGCUGUAACAAUCCACAAGAAACACCUUGCCUCUCUCCUGUUCCAUGGAAGAGGACAAGCCCUCCAAAGCUGGCUCUCUCAAGGUCGGACCAGUGAAAGUCCUUCACUGUCUCUACGUUUUUCUCUGCAUCAGUCAGCAGCAGGAGAACAGUCCUUCUGUAAGAACAUCUAGCCUGCAAUCAGUCCAGCAAGCAUGCCCCACCAAGUCUCCAAGAACAAGCACAGCAUAUCCUAAAGAUUUCCAGGCCUCUCACCCUCCAAGGAAGCUCUUCUAGAGCCUGCUGGUGACUUCAUUUAUUCAUCAAGGGCAAAGAGAUGCACUUAAAUUCUCAGAGGCCCCCUCAGUCAAGGAGUGCUCCAGCCUCUGGGAUGGUGGUAAUGAUGUCUAAAGAUACUCUGUGGGAGGAUUCUCUUGUGUCAGGGGUUUCCAAUUCACCAAUGUCUGUCCUAGGCUAGAUCCUUUCUCUAAUCCCCCUUCCCCACCAACCAACCAAACCCCUGUACAUGUGUGUUUCUUCAUGGCUGGGAAUAAAACCAGGGCUAUGUGCUCUAUCUACCACUAAGCUA